rnacentral:rRNA from 1 species
AUUGAACGCUGGCGGCAUGCCUUACACAUGCAAGUCGAACGGCAGCACGGGAGCAAUCCUGGUGGCGAGUGGCGAACGGGUGAGUAAAGUAUCGGAACGUGCCCAGUCGUGGGGGAUAACGUAGCGAAAGCUACGCUAAUACCGCAUACGAACUAUGGAUGAAAGCGGGGGAUCGCAAGACCUCGCGCGAUUUGAGCGGCCGAUAUCAGAUUAGGUAGUUGGUGGGGUAAAGGCCCACCAAGCCGGCGAUCUGUAGCUGGUCUGAGAGGACGGCCAGCCACACUGGGACGGAGACACGGCCCAGACUCCUACGGGAGGCAGCAGUGCGGAAUUUUGGACAAUGGGCGCAAGCCUGAUCCAGCAAUGCCGCGUGCAGGAUGAAGGCCUUCGGGUUGUAAACUGCUUUUGUACGGAGCGAAAAGGCUCUCACUAAUCCUGGGGGCUCAUGACGGUACCGUAAGAAUAAGCACCGGCUAACUACGUGCCAGCCGCCGCAGUAA